GACGAACGCUGGCGGCGUGCUUAACACAUGCAAGUCGAACGGAAAGGCCCUGCUUUUGUGGGGUGCUCGAGUGGCGAACGGGUGAGUAACACGUGAGUAACCUGCCCUUGACUUUGGGAUAACUUCAGGAAACUGGGGCUAAUACCGGAUAGGAGCUCCUGCUGCAUGGUGGGGGUUGGAGAGUUUCGGCGGUUGGGGAUGGACUCGCGGCUUAUCAGCUUGUUGGUGGGGUAGUGGCUUACCAAGGCUUUGACGGGUAGCCGGCCUGAGAGGGUGACCGGCCACAUUGGGACUGAGAUACGGCCCAGACUCCUACGGGAGGCAGCAGUGGGGAAUAUUGCACAAUGGGCGGAAGCCUGAUGCAGCAACGCCGCGUGCGGGAUGACGGCCUUCGGGUUGUAAACCGCUUUCGCCUGUGACGAAGCGUGAGUGACGGUAAUGGGUAAAGAAGCACCGGCUAACUACGUGCCAGCAGCCGCGGUGAUACGUAGGGUGCGAGCGUUGUCCGGAUUUAUUGGGCGUAAAGGGCUCGUAGGUGGUUGAUCGCGUCGGAAGUGUAAUCUUGGGGCUUAACCCUGAGCGUGCUUUCGAUACGGGUUGACUUGAGGAAGGUAGGGGAGAAUGGAAUUCCUGGUGGAGCGGUGGAAUGCGCAGAUAUCAGGAGGAACACCAGUGGCGAAGGCGGUUCUCUGGGCCUUUCCUGACGCUGAGGAGCGAAAGCGUGGGGAGCGAACGGGCUUAGAUACCCUGGUAGUCCACGCUGUAAACGGUGGGUACUAGGUGUGGGGUCCAUUCCACGGGUUCCGUGCCGUAGCUAACGCUUUAAGUACCCCGCCUGGGGAGUACGGCCGCAAGGCUAAAACUCAAAGGAAUUGACGGGGCCCCGCACAAGCGGCGGAGCAUGCGGAUUAAUUCGAUGCAACGCGUAGAACCUUACCUGGGUUUGACAUGGAUCGGGAGUGCUCAGAGAUGGGUGUGCCUCUUUUGGGGUCGGUUCACAGGUGGUGCAUGGCUGUCGUCAGCUCGUGUCGUGAGAUGUUGGGUUAAGUCCCGCAACGAGCGCAACCCUUGUUCACUGUUGCCAGCACGUUAUGGUGGGGACUCAGUGGAGACCGCCGGGGUCAACUCGGAGGAAGGUGGGGAUGACGUCGAGUCAUCAUGCCCCUUAUGUCCAGGGCUUCACGCAUGCUACAAUGGCUGGUACAGAGAGUGGCGAGCCUGUGAGGGUGAGCGAAUCUCGGAAAGCCGGUCUCAGUUCGGAUUGGGGUCUGCAACUCGACCUCAUGAAGUCGGAGUCGCUAGUAAUCGCAGAUCAGCAACGCUGCGGUGAAUACGUUCCCGGGGC
rnacentral:rRNA from 1 species